UACGGGGGGGGGCAAGCGUUGUUCGGAAUUACCGGGCGUAAAGGGCUCGUAGGCGGCCAACUAAGUCAGACGUGAAAUCCCUCGGCUUAACCGGGGAACUGCGUCUGAUACUGGAUGGCUUGAGUUUGGGAGAGGGAUGCGGAAUUCCAGGUGUAGCGGUGAAAUGCGUAGAUAUCUGGAGGAACACCGGUGGCGAAGGCGGCGAUCCUGGACCAAUUCUGACGCUGAGGAGCGAAGCCAGGGGAGCAAAACGGGG
rnacentral:rRNA from 1 species